rnacentral:rRNA from 1 species
CCUACGGGAGGCAGCAGUGGGGAAUAUUGCACAAUGGGGGAAACCCUGAUGCAGCGACGCCGCGUGAGUGAAGAAGUAUUUCGGUAUGUAAAGCUCUAUCAGCAGGGAAGAAAAUGACGGUACCUGACUAAGAAGCUCCGGCUAAAUACGUGCCAGCAGCCGCGGUAAU